rnacentral:tRNA from 1 species
GCCUGGGUGGCUUAGCCGGUUAAGCACCAGACUUUGGCUCGGGUCAUGAACUCAGUCCGUGGGUUCGAGCCCCGCAUCAGGCU